GAAACCGUGAGAUCAUGACCUGAGCCGCAACCAAGAGUCAGAUGCUUAACCGGCUGAGCCACCCAGGCGCCCCAGGAAGAGGGGUUUUCUGCUGGGACUCCAAGCCGUGAGGCUCACGUAGGGAGGUGGAUAAGGGGUUGGUAAAUUUGUGUGGACUGUGGCAGCAAUCUUGGGUUCUUAUUCCAAUUUUCCCAUUUUGUAGCCGUGUGACUUCGGGUCCAGUGCUUAACUUCUCAGUGCUUCGACUUUGUCAUCUAUGGAAAGGGGUUAAAAUAGCACCCACUUGGUGGUGUCAUUGAGAAGUUUAAAUGACUAGAUGUUUAGAAAUUAUUUAGGAUCCCGUCUGGACCAAGGGAGCAGUUAAUAGUGUUUGCUAAUACCAGCUGUUGGGUUAGACUGGAAUUGCCAGCAGGCACCAUGUGACGACGGUCUGUCUGACACUGAAGCCAGUACAGACACAGGAAGACUGAGUCCUGAUGGGAUCGCUUGAGCACCUGGAUCCAUCCAUGCCUGAAGCCAGCGAAGCUCCAGAAUUUAUUUAAGCAGGUUAGAGUUGAGUUUCUGUUACUUGCAACUAAGAAAUUAUUAUUGCCACGUAAAAAUAUUGGUGGCGACUGGCAUAGCUCGGCUUUUUGCGAUUCCCCUUUCUCUCCAGGCUACAGUUCAAAUCUCUCAGCUAGAGCCUCCAAGAGUUCGUGACCCGUCCCCUGCCUAACUCACCGGCCUCCUUUUUCUCUGCAUUCACUUGUCUGCCACUUUCCAGCCUUUCCAAACGUGCAGGGCCCUACGCCCGUCCUGUUUGUUCGUCCUCCUCCGCGACUCUGCACAUGCAGUUCCCAGCCCUGGAAAUACCCUUCCUCGCUGGGUUGCCCCUUCCUCAGGUGUCUUGCUCUGAGACUGGAUUAGGCUUCCCUCCUGUAUCCUGGCUCAACAGGCCGUGGUGCCAGCAAGGCUCCCCACCCUCACCCCAAGACUGAGAUUUCCUUGGGGGCAGGGACCCUUUAGACAGGAGUAAAAUAGCUCUGUAUUCCCAGGGCCUGGCAUGGAGUCUGCUACAUGGAAGGUGCUCGGUGCCCGUUCCUGGAAGAACUCCCAAACACCGCGUGAGAGGGGCAGAAACGACGACAGGCAGAGACGUGAGGUGCCAGCAUUGUGAUAUGCUAAGAACCCCUAAUGUGAUUUGUUAAGAAAAUUAAGCCUUAAGGGGACCAAGGGAGGCAGCCCUUUCGAAAGCGCUCGAAGCGGCUGAGGUCGGAUACCUGCUGAUGGCUGGUUGGCCACAUCAUUGACGGUGAAGUAAACUUCCCCCUGACAGGUGCUUGAUUUAAUAAAAAAAAACCCCAAACUCAUAUCAGUCUUGACAUGCCCAGGGAAUAAGACGGCCAAUUAGAGAGAUGGAAAUCCCACUCUGGUGCAAGCCAAGAUUUAAAAGGCCCUGGUAGCCCUUAUUUAUGGAGUUUAGGUUUUCCUUUAGCCCUUGGGUGAAAAUGGGGGGUUGCCGGGGCCCUAAGUACUAAUGAAUUUUGUGCUGUGUUCUGCCUCCUGGCAUGAAGUGCUUAAUAAAUGUUCCCAUCUUUCUGCAGGGAAAUCUCUCUCUCCGCUAAUUGCUGUCAGCAUCCAUCAGGAUCACGGAGAGAGCAACAUCCCAGCCAGAGAGCCUUGGGCUUGAGCUCCAUCACCAGGAGAUGGUCUCUUUGGGAAGGCCGAGCGACCCGGAAGGGGCUGCACCUACCGGGC
rnacentral:lncRNA from 1 species